rnacentral:rRNA from 1 species
GAUGAACGCUGGCGGCGUGCCUAAUACAUGCAAGUCGAGCGAACGGACGAGAAGCUUGCUUCUCUGAUGUUAGCGGCGGACGGGUGAGUAACACGUGGAUAACCUACCUAUAAGACUGGGAUAACUUCGGGAAACCGGCGCUAAUACCGGAUAAUAUUUUGAACCGCAUGGUUCAAAAGUGAAAGACGGUCUUGCUGUCACUUAUAGAUGGAUCCGCGCUGCAUUAGCUAGUUGGUAAGGUAACGGCUUACCAAGGCAACGAUGCAUAGCCGACCUGAGAGGGUGGUCGGCCACACUGGAACUGAGACACGGUCCAUGCUCCUGCGGGAGGCAGCAGUAGGGAAUCUUCCGCAAUGGGCGAAAGCCUGACGGAGCAACGCCGCGUGAGUGAUGAAGGUCUUCGGAUCGUAAAACUCUGUUAUUAGGGAAGAACAUAUGUGUAAGUAACUGUGCACAUCUUGACGGUACCUAAUCAGAAAGCCCCGGCUAACUACGUG